rnacentral:rRNA from 1 species
GAGUUUGAUCCUGGCUCAGAACGAACGCUGGCGGCGUGCUUAACACAUGCAAGUCGAACGUGAUCCAGAGCUUGCUCUGGUGAAAGUGGCGCACGGGUGAGUAACGCGUGGAUAACCUGCCCUGGUAUCUGGGAUAACAUCUCGAAAGGGGUGCUAAUACCGGAUAAGCCUACGGACUCCUYGGAGUCUGCAGGAAAAGGAGGCCUCUAUUUAUAAGCUUCCGUAUCAUGAUGGGUCCGCGUACCAUUAGCUAGUUGGUGGGGUAAUGGCCUACCAAGGCGACGAUGGUUAGCUGGUCUGAGAGGAUGAUCAGCCACACUGGAACUGAGACACGGUCCAGACUCCUWCGGGAGGCAGCAGUGGGGAAUUUUGUGCAAUGGGGGAAACCCUGACGCAGCAACGCCGCGUGAGUGAUGAAGGCUUUCGGGUCGUAAAGCUCUGUCAGAGGGGAAGAAAUGAAACGUGCUAAUAUCACGUUUUCUUGACGGUACCCUCAAAGGAAGCACCGGCUAACUCCGUGCCAGCAGCCGCGGUAAUACAAGGGCGAAUUSKRRAS